GAAAUGCGAUAAGUAGUGUGAAUUGCAGAAUUCAGUGAAUCAUCGAAUCUUUGAACGCACAUUGCGCCCCUCGGUAUUCCGUGGGGCAUGCCUGUUCGAGCGUCAUCUACACCCUCAAGCUCUGCUUUGUGUUGGGCGUCUGUCCCGCCUCCGCGCGUGGACUCGCCCCAAAUUCAUUGGCAGCGGUCCUUGCCUCCUCUCGCGCAGCACAUUGCGCUUCUCGAGGGGCUACGGCUCGCGUCCAACAAGCACAUUUACCGUCUUUGACCUCGGAUCAGGUAGGGAUACCCGCUGAACUUAAGC
rnacentral:misc_RNA from 1 species